UCCACGCCGUAAACGAUGUUCACUCGCUGUUUGCGAUACACAGCAAGCGGCUAAGCGAAAGCAUUAAGUGAACCACCUGGGGAGUACGAUCGCAAGGUUGAAACUCAAAGGAAUUGACGGGGGCCCGCACAAGCGGAGGAACAUGUGGUUUAAUUCGAUGAUACGCGAGGAACCUUACCUGGGCUUAAAUGUAGAUUGCAUAGGGCAGAAAUGCCCUUUCCCUUCGGGGCUGUUUACAAGGUGCUGCAUGGUUGUCGUCAGCUCGUGCCGUGAGGUGUCGGGUUAAGUCCCAUAACGAGCGCAACCCCUAUCGUUAGUUGCCAGCGGGUCAAGCCGGGGACUCUAGCGAGACUGCCACCGUAAGGUGAGAGGA
rnacentral:rRNA from 1 species